GACGCUGGCGGCAUGCCUUACACAUGCAAGUCGAACGGUAACAGGUCUUUCGGGAUGCUGACGAGUGGCGAACGGGUGAGUAAUACAUCGGAACGUGCCUAGUAGUGGGGGAUAACUACUCGAAAGAGUGGCUAAUACCGCAUGAGAUCUAUGGAUGAAAGCAGGGGACCUUCGGGCCUUGUGCUACUAGAGCGGCCGAUGGCAGAUUAGGUAGUUGGUGGGAUAAAAGCUUACCAAGCCUACGAUCUGUAGCUGGUCUGAGAGGACGAUCAGCCACACUGGGACUGAGACACGGCCCAGACUCCUACGGGAGGCAGCAGUGGGGAAUUUUGGACAAUGGGCGCAAGCCUGAUCCAGCAAUGCCGCGUGCAGGAUGAAGGCCUUCGGGUUGUAAACUGCUUUUGUACGGAACGAAAAGUCUUGGGUUAAUACCCUGGGAUCAUGACGGUACCGUAAGAAUAAGCACCGGCUAACUACGUGCCAGCAGCCGCGGUAAUACGUAGGGUGCAAGCGUUAAUCGGAAUUACUGGGCGUAAAGCGUGCGCAGGCGGUUUUGUAAGACAGUGGUGAAAUCCCCGGGCUCAACCUGGGAACUGCCAUUGUGACUGCAAGGCUGGAGUGCGGCAGAGGGGGAUGGAAUUCCGCGUGUAGCAGUGAAAUGCGUA
rnacentral:rRNA from 1 species